rnacentral:rRNA from 1 species
CCCCUGUGAAAAUACCUUAUGUUGCCUCGGCGGAUCAGCCCGCGCCCCGUAAAAAGGGACGGCCCGCCGCAGGAACCCUAAACUCUGUUUUUAGUGGAACUUCUGAGUAUAAAAAACAAAUAAAUCAAAACUUUCAACAACGGAUCUCUUGGUUCUGGCAUCGAUGAAGAACGCAGCAAAAUGCGAUAAGUAAUGUGAAUUGCAGAAUUCAGUGAAUCAUCGAAUCUUUGAACGCACAUUGCGCCCGCCAGUAUUCUGGCGGGCAUGCCUGUUCGAGCGUCAUUUCAACCCUCAAGCCCAGCUUGGUGUUGGGAGCUGCAGUCCUGCUGCACUCCCCAAAUACAUUGGCGGUCACGUCGAGCUUCCAUAGCGUAGUAAUUUACACAUCGUUACUGGUAAUCGUCGCGGCCACGCCGUUAAACCCCAACUUCUGAAUGUUGACCUCGGAUCAGGUAGGAAUACCCGCUGAACUUAAGCAUAUCAAUAAGCGGAGGAA